AUGCCUGCUUGGGUUAUGUCAGCACUGGAGAUGAAGAAAAACCUCCAAAUCAUAAAUUCUGCUCACCAGUGGCUGGCCUGGAACCAAAGAAGAACUGAAGAAUAAUUGAGGAGGGAAGAGACUUCUGGGGGCUCCUUGUCCAACUCCUUGCUUAGAGCAUCCUCAUACAUCAGCUUGCUCAAGACCUUGUCCAGGUGAACUCGGAAUGUCCAAGGAUGGAGAUUCCUCUGCUUCUCUGGAGCCCUGCUCCAAUGUAUGAUGACUCUGAGCUUCCAGCAUAUGACACAGCCACACAAAAGCUGCUCCUGAUGGCCUCUGAUCUGCAAACACUGCAGCAGGAAAUCUCCUCUGGAGACUUGUUUGACAGAACAAGUAGAAAAGUGGAUUUGGAAACUCUUGGAAAUGCAAACACUUGGAAACCAAUUCUCUUGAGUUCCACUGCCUGGUUCCUGACAUCCUGAAGAUGUCCCAGCUCCAAGGAUUGCCCCUCCCAGCAGAAAGCCCUUGAGGAGUGCUCCUUGCUCUUGAGAUUAGUGUGUCUGAGGUCACUGGAUUAAUGCUUCACAUCCACUGCUGUCCUCAGGGAAUAGAAGUUGCAUCCUCAAAUCCGAUUAUUUACUGAAUUGGCUGGGCUGGAGCCAGUGCUUUGGGAAAGCUGAGUUUUGGUUACCCUGUGUCCUCUGCACCUGCAUCAGCCAGCCCAGACAGCACAUCCUGCAGCCCAGGAGGGCACUGGGGUUCCAGGGGCCUUAUAAAUCAGUCUGGUGUAUUUCUAAUGAUGCUGAUGAGAUCACAGAGAAAAUAAUUUGGAUUGGAGGAAGAGAGAAUUGGAAGAACGUUCAUCAGCUGUGAGUCAUGACAUAAUAGAAUCAUACCAGAGUCUGUGGAAUCCUUCAGAAAUUAUUGAAAAAUUGGUAAAGUGACUAAUCUGCAGUUGUGGAUUUGAGGAAAUUGAGACUGCCUGAGGCUGCGGACAUCAACGUGAUCUGAUUGUACUUGCAGCAGAAGCCACAUUAAAAUGAGCAGUUACAUAAAAUCAAAACAAACUUGGAAGAGCUAAAGGGUUUCUCUUUUCAGACAACUUUCUGAAGAAGGAUUUGACUAUGAAAAUAUUGAACUUCCUUGGAAAAGUUUGGAUUCCUGAGAGCAGGAGGGUGUCAGCUGUGGUGGAUGUGUGUCCCCUCUGUCAGGGUGCAGCUGUGUUAACAAGGGAAAACAAAUACAAAAGAAGAUUUCUUGAAGAAAACUAAUAAAAAGUAGCCUUGAGCAAAAAUCUGGAGGAGGAAAUCUUCCUUGGAGGCUUGGGGUGGAUUUCGCAGAAGCGGCUCGGAGUCACAGAUGGGAAUUAUCCAGCAGAACCUGCCUUGCAGUCCUCAGGAAAUCAAAGCAGCCUGACAAAUGUCUGGCUGCACACCCCAGAACAACACUCAGGAAUGUUCUACCAACAGCUGCUCCUGCUUCUGCGGCUGCGGCAGGAGACAGGCAAACAGAACCCGUGCCAGGCAGCCAGCGAAUCCCACUCGGAGCUCCCUCGUGUACGCAGGACAAGAGGAGGGAAGGGAGCCUGAGAUGGAAACCAAUUUCUAAAAUCCUUCUUGGAAAUGGAAAUGAUUACUGAAAAUGCCCAAAGUGUCCUUCCUCAGCUCAUGCUGUGCCUGGGCAGGAGGUCACUUUGUCCAGGAACCUUUUUCAGACCCUUUGGCCACUCAGAGAGAAGCAGAGGCUGAGUUUCCAAGCUGACAUUGCCAUUGGUGACAAGAGUGAGCUCCAGGUAUCAGAGACCUCACAGCCAUCUGAAUCAACCAGAGAGAGACAAAUCCUAACUAAAACAUAGCCACGAAAUCUACUUCUGAGCAAAAAUAAUUAAUAAUAAAUGUUGUUCUAGGACACAAAAUUAGAUGACACUCACGCUGGAACUUCCAAGGUAAAAAGAAUGGAAGUGGAAGUUUAUUUCCUGACUCCAACAUUUAUAGACUUUCAAAAGUGACAGUGGAUUGGAAGAUGAAAGUGCCACCUCUCCAAUGGCACCGGACAAACCAACAGUUCAACAAAUUUCUCCUCUUCCAGAAAAGAAUGUGAAACAAUAACUAUUUACAUAAAAAUGCAUAAGAAAGUUCAUUACAAAAAUGUAAACAUCAAAAGGCUUUGAAGAACUUAAAAGAACAGAGUGACAAUUAAAGGCAUAUUUUCAUUAUUUGAAGGAAAAACCACACAUAAUAUAAAUUCUUCCUGAUGAGUAAAUGAGUAAUUUUGAUCAAGGAAGUGCAGACUGCAUCUUUUAAAGCUCCAUCCUCUGCCAUGUGUGGAAUAAUUGUUGACUCCAGUUUGAAGAAGAUGCCUGUGCUGUACUCUCAGCUCAGCCAUGGAGAUGCCAUCCCUUGCAUACCAAGCUCAGCAUUGUUUAUGCUCUGGCUUUUUUCUGUUGUAAUGAGAACAAUUAUGAGUGAAAGCAUUUUGCUGCUGAUGAAGUGCAUAUUGGCUGUGAGUUUAUGCUGUAUUCUGGAUUUAAGCCCUGCUUAAGAGUCAGUCAGGCACAGAAGACUCUGAAGAUUUGAGAGGUUCUUCCUUCAGAGAAGUGAUGUGGUUUGUAGCAGAAUGAAUUUCCUGGUUUUACUUUGGCCCUGACUAGAAAGGCUUUUCAUUUCCUGAGGAUGAUGAGUUCUAUUGAUUGGCAGACUUAUUUUUCCAGAAUAAACCAGGGAAGCUCCUGCCUUGUCCUGCAGUGCCAGAGCCUGGUGCCAGCGUGAUUCUGUUCUCACGUUUCUGAUUUCACAGAAAUGAAUUAAGAGCUUGAAGAUUGAAUUUGUGGAUGUGAAAAAUCAGAAAAAGAUGUAAAUGCUGUUUUCCUGAGGCCAAGGGAGCUCUGCAUCAAAGUGAAAAGCUACGGUAAAACCCUCUGCAAGCUCCUCUGGACAGCAGCAGCACCCUCAGCACUGCUCAGCACCAGCUGAAAAUGCUUAAAUGUGGAUUUUCAUCUUGGUUGUGAACGCUGAAACCUGAGAUGGUCAUGGAGAAUCCUGCCACGUGAUUAAUCAAUUCAGAGAGAGAAAAUUUGUGAAAUAAACCCCAACAGUGCCAUGUUCCUGUGCUGGGUACCCUACAGUGGGAGUGGAUGAUGGAGCCAAGGUAGAUACAACACCAGAGGAAGAGAGAAAAAACCCAACUCAUCUGCCAAAUAUAGGCAAGACAUCCCACAAAAUGCAUAGAAAUGAGGAUGAUUUUCCUGUGCUUGAUCAAAGAGUUGAAUUAAUUUGUGUCAGAAGUUGGAUUCCAGAAAGCACUUAUUAAAAGUGAUUCAUUGUUGGCCACUCACAUGCAGGAUGGAGCUCUGGGAAAGGACACAGGUUUGUCUUGGCUCUGUAAAAUCCCCCAAAGCCAGCACAAUUUUCACAGCCAUUAUCUGUGGGGGGAACCUUCUCACCAGGUGCUUGGAGGAUUGUAGAGAGUUUGACUCAGUUGUUUCCUACAGAUUUCUACAAGAAAACACAGACAAAGCCCAGCAUGUGUGAGGUCCUGGUUCUGAGCCCUUUCUUUUCUGCUCCACAUUUCUGUAUGAGAGGAAGAAAUCUGGAAGAGCUGCUGAAAUUACUGGAAUUGGUUGCUGCCUGCAGUGAAACCCUCACAUUCCAGCUCAGGUAACUUGAUGAAUGCCCUGUGAUGGCUACUCCCAAACGAAAACACAGGGACAAGUAUGGGUGUUCUGAAAGAACAUGGCAACAGAAAUGAGGUGGACUUUAAAAAUUAUUCAUACACAUGGCAGGAGUUUGAAGGGAUUCAAAGCACCUGCAUUCACAUCACUUAAGGGGGGAAUAUUCUAUCAGCCCAAGUUCAUUGAAAACUUGCUGGAGGUUCAUCUGGAACUGCUGGCUCCUUCACCUGGCUGCUCUGCCUUGGUUUUCAGUCUCAGCAGAUUCUGGAAUGCACUUGCAGCAGUUCUCACUUGCUGGAGGAGCUGGACCAGACUUGGAGCAUUUUCUCAAAAAGCUAUCAGGAGGCUGAAGCUGGGCUUAUUCAGGGAAAGGGAGCACUGUAAUUUACAUUCUUUGAUGAAGAUGCUGAGUGCAGCAAAUUCCAAUGGGAUGAGGGAUUGGUUCCUGAGUCAGGAGCUGGUUUAGCUCUGUGCUGUGGAGGGGAAGAAGCCUCUGGAGCAAACUGUCCCUGUCCAGGCUGCACUGAAUUCCACCCUGGCUCUCCCCUGCUGGUUCCAAGCCGUGGCAGAAGGAAACAUUCUCAUGGCCAAGGUCAUUGAAGGAGGAAUGAGGCAGCACCAAAAGUGGGGUGAUGGCAGCAACCACUGCACAUUCACAUGCUCUGAGUGUCCUUCAGAGAGUUGGAGCACAGCUUUUUCAGACAGAAAUAUCCAGUGUAACAAAUGAAUGCUGAUCUUCCCUGUCAGAAGCCAUUUGUACCUGCUCUGGAACAUUUCAGGCUGAAGAGUUUCUGCCUGCUGAGACCAGCCCAGGCUAAUCACAUUCCACGCAGAGGAAUUUGGAUUUGCAUCAGAAAGCAGCACUCCUCCACCUGUUUCAAACACUAAGCCCCAAAGAAGAGGUUGAGAUGUCUCUUCCAGAGAAGCAGAUUCUGAAAUAUCUCCCGUGUAAAUUUUGGCUUCGCUGAGCAGGCGCACAGGUAAAAGAGAGGACUGGCCCGGGACUGAGCCUGGGAUCACCACUGCUGACCAGCUGGGAAACAGAACACAAAAAACCUCUCAAGGCUCAGCAUUUCCUGACAGAAAGCCCUGAUGGUGAAACAAAAGUGAGAAAUGCCCAGAGCUGGCAGGAUGUGGAAGCUUGCAGGUACAUGAGCACCUGGGAUUUGUGAAGGACAGACCACCACCUCCCCAAUAACACAGGCAUUAAGCAGAAAUAAGUCCAGAUAAUGAGCAGCCAAAAAAUAAUGCAUAAGUGGAUGAAGACUGUGUCUGCCUGUCCUUAAUCCAAUCCAAAUUUGCCUGCAGUGCUUUGCAUUUGCAGUCAGAGGUUUGCUGGCAUAGUCUGGGGCAGCCUUCCAAGGCAUCACUGGGAUAUCUCUGAGAGGAGAGCUGAGGCAGCCUGAUCUGUGUCCUGCUGGAGAAAGCACCUUCUGUUGCAUUUUUUUGUGGCUAUUAACUGGAACUCUGAAUGGGAUUCCAUAACUGUUGGGAUGUCAAGUGUUGAAUUUUGAGCCAGACUUCACUUCUUCAGUCCAUUUUCUGCUGUUUACAGGUCUUCCCUGUGAGCGUGAUGUGUUAAAAAUAAACCAACAGUGGCAGGUUUCUAUUUCAAACCAAUAUUGCUCCUUUAGCACUGAAGUUCCCAGCACAGGAAGGACAUGGACGGACCCCUUGGAGCAAGUCCAGAUUAUCAGAGGGAUGGAGCAGCUCUGCUGGGAGGAAAUGCUGGGAAAAUUUGGAUUGUUCAACCUGGAGAAGAGAAGCUUUGGGGUGACCUAGUUGUGACCUUCCAGUGCCUGAAGGGAUUGGGAAAGGUUUGGAGGGUUAUCUCAGGGAAUGCAGGGGAAAAGGCCUCAGGCUGGGCCAGGGGAGGCUCAGCUGGGACAGCAGCAGCAAUUUCUGCAUGCAAAGGGUGCUCAGGCCUUG